CACUAUAAUUUCCCUAUAAAUUAAACCUGCUUGUUGCUUUAAUAGUUGGCUCAAUCUUUAUGGUUUUAAAAUGGGAGUAUUUAAAAAUAUUGAGCACCAGAAUGGUGUUGGAUUCAUAAGAAAGCUCUUGUUACAAGGUCAUUUAUUACAGCAACAUAUAUAAUGAAUAUAGAGUUGUGGCACUAUAUUUAUCCAUACACUGAUCAGCCACAACAUUAAAGGGACACUAAAGUCACCCAGAACAACUACAGCUUAAUGAAUUUGUUCUGCUGAGUAGAAUCAUUACCUUCAGGCUUUUUUCUGUAAACACUGUCUUUUCAGAGAAAAUGCAGUGUUUACAUUACAGCCUAGUGAUAACUUCACUGGCCACUCCUCAGAUGGCUGUUAGAGAUCCUUCCUGGGUCAUGGCUGCCUAAAAUGUAUCCAAACAUUCAGUGUCUCCUCCCUCUGCAUAAAGACACUGCACUUUCCUUAUAGAGAUUCAUUGAUUCAAUUCAUCUCUAUGAGGAGAUGCUGAUUGGUCAGGGCUGUGUUUGAAUUGUGCUGGAUCUGCCACUUUGUCAGUCUCAGCCAAUCCUAUGGGGAAUCAUUGUGAUUGGAUCUGGCUACCACUUCUGAUGAUGUCGGCAGACAGCUUGUUUUUCUGAGGCAAACAGCAUGCAGAUCUACAGCUUCAGGCUUGAAUACAGUAAGAUUUUGCUAUAUUUAUGGAGGCAUGAGGGGCCCAGGGUGGCUAUAUGGUGGUUUUAACCCUAUAGGGUCAGGGAUACAGGUUUGUG